rnacentral:rRNA from 1 species
UACGGGGGGGGCAAGCGUUGUUCGGAAUUACUGGGCGUAAAGGGCUCGUAGGCGGCCAACUAAGUCGGACGUGAAAUCCCCAGGCUUAACCUGGGAACUGCAUACGAUACUGGAUGGCUUGAAUCCGGGAGAGGGAUGCAGAAUUCCAGGUGUAGCGGUGAAAUGCGUAGAUAUCUGGAGGAAUACCGGUGGCGAAGGCGGCAUCCUGGACCGGCAUUGACGCUGAGGAGCGAAAGCUAGGGGAGCAAACGGG